UCUGUAACGAUAUUAUCCCAAAGAGCUAUCCGAAACUUGUAUCGAUACUUGAUAUUAUAGGACAUCCAACUCCUCCAAAUCCUGAAUCUGUGAAUUCACUUGCGCAGAGAGAGAGAGAGAGAGAAGAGAUGGCUCAGAUUAGUGCUUGUUCUCUAAUCAGUCCCAUGGAAUCUGCUAAUUACCGGAAAGGUAAUCUUCUCUCUCCACCCUACCAUUCAUCUUUUCCCCUUCAUUCUCAUUCCCGCACUAUAAACCCAAGAAGUUCUACUCCUUCUGCGACCAUCAUCAGCCAAGCAAAACGCCAACCCAAUUUUGAAAGAGAAAUGCUUCGGAAAGAAAAACCCAGGUCGAGGGAUCUAAGGGUGGAGCAAGGUGUUCCAACCAUUGUCAAAAUCAGUAAGGCGUUGACGAUUACUAUGAAAAAGGGUAAGUACAGCACGGCUCUUUCUCGUUUCAUCAAGUUGCAGUUACAAGGCAUUGAGCUCGAUUUGUAUACCUUCAGCAUUGCAAUUAACUGUUACUGUCACGUGAAUCGAGUUGGGUUUGGGUUCUCACUUUUAGGCAGCAUCUUUAAAAGCGGUUACACGCCAGAUGGAGUUAUCUUCGGCACCCUGUUAAAUGGACUUAUUGCGCAAGAUAAAGUUGCUGAGGCUCUUUCUCAUUUAAACAAGUUGCAGUUACAUGACAUUGAGCUAAAUUUGUAUAUCUUCAACAUGGCAAUUAACUGCUACUGUCGCGUGAAUCGAGUUGGCUUUGGGUUCUCGCUUCUAGGCAGCAUCUUCAAACACGGUUACACGCCUAAUGAAGUUAUAUUCUCCACUCUGUUAAAUGGACUUAUUGCACAAGAUAAAACUGUGGAGGCCGUGGAGUUAUUUGAGAAAAUAGUCAAAAAGGGUGAAAUCAAACCCGAUGUGACGAUAUGGAUCGUUAAUAAAUAGGCUUUGCAAAAUGGGAAACACGGGAGCGGCUAUUGGUUUUCUGAGGAUUGCGGAAGAAGGAGGUUUAAAACCUAACACCAUGGCAUAUAGCAUGAUCAUUGACCGUCUUGGCAAGGAUGGGAUGGUGGAUGCCGCUGUCAACUUGUUAGUAGAAAUGAAAAGCAAAGUUAUUCAUGCAAAUGUUGUCACCUAUACAUCCUUGAUUGAUGGCCUAUGCAAACAUGGCAAGUGGAAGGAGGCUACAAGAAUGCUAAUGGAAAUGGCAGAUGGUCGUAUUUCACCAAAUGUUCAUACAUUAACUGUGUUGGUCAAUGCACUUAGCAAGCAAGGGAUGACAAAGGAAGCAGAGGAGUUACUUGACAGCAUGGAAGGAAGAGGUGUGUAUCCUAAUGUAUUCACAUACACUAGACUCAUGGAGGGAUAUAGUCUGCAAGGCCGGAUGGACGAAGCAAUGAGAUUGCUAAAUGCCAUGGUGGAUAAGGGCAUUCAUCCUAACACUCAUUGUUAUACCAUUUUGAUCAACGGAAAUUGCAAGAACAUGAAAUUAGACGAGGCCGUGCAACUCUUCCGAGAAAUGCCUCUACUAGGUUUGAAACGUAACGUUGUUACUUUCACAACUAUAUUGAACGGUAUGGUUCAGAUAGGUAGAUAUACUGCUACUCAAGAAAUUCUUAAUGAGAUGAAAGCUGCUUGCCUAACUCCUGAUACUAAAACUUGUGGUCUCCUGUUGGACGGCCUUUGUCAAAGUGGGCAUAUUGAUGAAGCAAUGUUCUUAUUUCACAUGAUGGAAAAAGGGGUUUAGGGCUCGAUAUUGUUAAGUACAAUGUGCUUGUUGAUGCGUAUUUCAAGAAUAAAACACUUGAUAAUGCAAGGGAUGUUUUCACUAUACUGCCUUCCAAAGGGUCAUGUCCUGAUGAUAGGACCUCCUUGAUAUGAUUCAAUGUCUUUUGAGGAAGGCCUCCUUGAUGAAGGUGCCUGCGGAAUGAUGUCUCUUACACGUUGGCAUUCAGGGAUUUCUUAAACAUAUGAAGUCCUUUGAGGCCUUUUUACUCCCUGAGGAAAUGAUUGGAAAGUGGGGUUUUGCCAAAUGCAUCUACUGUUUCCUUGACUGCGGAAUUAAUCAACUAAAGGACUAGACCGCGCUUAAUAAGUGAUAAAGAAGUUUGCACCAAGGAGUAGACAAUCAGCAAGACUUUGAGUUAAGAAGGUUAAGCGGUGAAGGUACACUUACAUCUAUAUUUAGCAGAAAACAUAGCCAGUAUUGUGGUUAACUAUUAAAUGUUUUCCUUACUGAUCUCUUAUUUAAAUGUGAGAAAACCGAUGGCUGUUCUCUGUGCACCAGACAUGUAGCUUACCGAAUCAGUUGUGACACGGAUGGGAAUGAAUGCUACGAAGGCUAGGGUCGAGAGGUGUCAAACCAGAAAGAAAGAUACUGGUCAUCCCUUAAUAGAUGCCUAAAGGGCACAAAACCAAAACAAGAGAUAGAGCUGGGGUUAAAGAUGGCACGGUUUCCGCUUUCCCAGUUUGGUUUGGUCAGAUAGUCUACUUCGUUUAUCCCGAAGCAAAUGAAGCAUCCGAGCAAGCAUCCCCUACAGGCCGAGAUACAUAGCGCCUAUCUCUAUUAUCCCAUGAUGAUGCGUAUUUCUGCGUAGCAGACUACUUGUACAUAUAUGUACAUAUGAUAAAAUAGGACUGUUUUUGAAAAUAUGUAGAAAAUUCAUUGGUUUAGAUUUAAUUUGUCCUAAAUUGAUGGAGCAUAUAGAUUUUCACAUGUCCAUCAAGUGUUUUGAUUGAGAUUCAUUUCAACAACGACCAGGAUUUACACAACUCAAGUUUUGCCUUCCGAUAGGCCGUUGUAAAACCCCCAUGUCGAUCCCAUUCCUAUCACAAACCCACCUCUUUGGUCUCUUCCUCUCUCUCUCUCCAAAUGAACCUCUUUCUUUCCAGUUGUUUUUCUCUGGAUUGCUUUACUCCAUGGCUCAUUCCAUCCCACCCACAUUAAUUUCUCUCUAUAAUUGGAGUUUGACCCCCCAAUCCCAACAUUUCACACCUUCCUUCUGUAAGGAUUGAGAAUCCCUACAGUAUUGUGUAGAUUUCUGGCGAUGUCCAGCGGCGGUGAUUGCUCUUGAUAACACGACUUCCUACAAAAAGUUGCAACUGUCUAUUUCUUGAAGACUUGAACUGAUGAUCUAUCAUUUGAUGCGUCAUAGACGGUACUAGUAUGAGCCACCACUAGGCCCAUCAUACUGGUCAGGUUUGAUUCUCACUUUUGGCAUCAAGUACACUGUCUUAGGCUUCGAUAAUUAUUUAUUUCUAUGCUUUAUUCCAUAUAGUGGACUAACGUCUUGAGUCUUUACCCAUCCUGUUGGGCAUUUAAAUAGAAAUCGUGGUCUUCAAUUUUUAUGUAUCAAAAUAGUGCCCAUAUUGAUAAAUGAUAAUGAUACAUGACAUUUCGCAAAUGGAACCUUCAUUGCGCCUCUCUGACUCUGUUAUAUCAUAGUAGAAUCCUUGCUCUAAAACUUAUAUAGUUAUAUCCUUGUUUAUCUUUGCAUUUACAUGAACUAUACCAUCUAUUAUUGAUUUAUAAACUGGUGUACGAAAUGAUUUAUCUAUUUACUUUUGAACUUAUGCUGAUUAAAGAGCAUGCGUUUCGGUGCACACCGAUUAUCUACCCGAACUUGUAAUUCCAUUCAAGAACAUAUUGCGCCAAUCUAAUCGUCCUCUCUCUUUCUUUUUCUUUUUUGUUGACGUGGCUGUUCUGGAACUUACAAUUUUUUAUAGAAAAUAUUUGAACUUUAUAAUUCAGAAGUUUAACUUUUGAAGGUAGAGACUAGAAAUUCACAAUCGCGUUUGAAGAUAAUAUUCUAAGGGUGUAAAGUGUUUCUUGUCCUUCAAAACUUGAGCAAGCAUAUCUACCUAUCUAUCUAUACAUCUAAUAAAAAACAGAACUGUUUGCCUACUUUUUAUGGCUGAAAGUUCCCAAGUUAUUAGGAGGAGACAACAAUAUCUAACCUUUGCAAACUGUUGUUUCUGGUUUAGAUAGAUAGAUAUGCUGUUGCCCAAAAGAUUCUUAAUGAGAUGCAAGCUGCCAGCCUAAUCCCGAACUAAAACUUGUGGUCUCUUGGUGGACGGCCUUUGCCAAGGCGGGUAUAUCGAUGAAGCAAUGUUCUUGUUUCACAUGACGAAAAAAGUACUGUUAAGUACAAUAUCCUUUUUGAUGCAUAUUGCAAGAAUAAAACACUUGAUAAUUCAAGGGAUCUUUUCACUGUACUGCCUCCCAAAGCGUCAUGUCCUGGUGAUAGGACCUCAUUGCUAUGAUUCAAAGUCUUUUGUGGAAGUUGUUGCCUGAGGAAUGAUGUCUCUUAGAUAAUAUCCUUCUGGGAGAUUUCAUCGACCUUUUGGCUUUUUUAGUCCUUGAUAUGAUUAGAAGGGGGUUAUUUUGCCAAAUGCAUCUACUGUUUCCUUGAUUGUGGAUUUGACCUUAACAAGAGGACUAGACCGUUCUCUCAAAGCUGUGGAAGAAAUUUGUGGAAAAGAAUAGACAAUUACCGAAUGUACUUGAGUGAAAAUGGUUAAGCCGUGGAGGUACACCUACAAAUAUUGCCGUUAUAAUGUUGAACUCUUAUGUGUUUUCCUUAUUGGUCUCUUAUGUAUGUGUGCGUAGCGGAAUAUAUAUGUAUGGAAGUUUUGACUGAUCUCCUAGCAUUAACUAUUAAGUUUGAAGCCGUAACACUACUUUUCUAUGGAAGCCUGUAAUGUGUGUUGUUUCUCCUUAGCUUUUUGGGCUUUUUUGGCGUUUUGUCUUAUUCAAAAAAAAAAAUUGCGUUUAUUAGUUUUUCGCCAAAGCCAUUACCACUACCCCAAAGGUACACUAGAGAAAUGUUGCACUAAUGGCAUAGAGGUUGUUUUCUAGAUAAAACUCGGAUCAGAAAAGUUAAAUUUUGUUACUUUUACCCAAAUAUUUUUGGAAAUAUUCAGGAUAAAGGCCAAAAAAUAAGAGGAACGGGGUAAGUGAAACCCUUAUAUAGGUGGGUUUUAUUGCUGGAAAAUAUCCUUCUUCACUAGGUUGCACAUUGCUUUUUGCAUACAAUAGUAGUAUAAAUCAAAAGCAUGUUUGAAUGUGUUCAUGCAUUUGAGGGUCCGAUUGAUAUUUAAAACAUUAAGCACAGUCUUGUAUGUAAAUGUUUCAAUCUGUAAGUAUGUACAACAACAACAACAGAAUCCAUGUUGUCCCCAAUCAUUGGAGGUAUGGGCAGGGGAGGAUUGGAGACAGACCUAACCUUUGGCAAUAUGCACAAAGUGGUUGCUCUCAGAAUACCACUGAACAGUAGCCCCCCCAAUACCUGUUUUGCUGCGAGACCAUGCCCACUAAUCAAAGCCAAAUAGCAUCAGAGAGGGCUUGUAAGUAUGUAAAAUGUAUUUUCUCGCUUUAGUUUUUUUAGUAACGUUAAUUGUUGUUUACUGGUAUAUUCAUGCGAAUGUCUUCCCUGUUUUAGAUAAUAUGGUGCUGGAUAGUGUAUGAGCUGAUUUCUAUUGUUUGAAUCAACACAAUGGAAUUUAUAUGCAAAACACUAUCCCUUGAGUGGCUAAGAGUAGAGAGCUGAGAGGCAUUUAGCCCAAAGUAUGAAAUUCAGGAAUGAGAAAACAAUAGAAGGUUUGUUUUGUGCCUUAUGUUGACCAACAUACUAAUGACUCUUGCAGCACAAGUUUCCUUGUCCGGGCGACCUAGAAACUUGACAAUGAUCAGACUGCAAAAUGGCGAUUUCUCUUAGUGUGUCUGAGCUGGUUCCUCCUUGCGAAGUCUUCCCAGUGGUGAUGGAUAUUCAGGAACUCAGUUGACAGGGGAACAUCAAGUUGGAAUGUGUAAGGAGAUCUGCUAACAAGGUGGCUUCUCUAGCAGCAAAAAGGAGGCUUCCUCGGUACUGGGUAUCUAAUCCCCCCUCCUCUUUAGUCAGUUUAGUACUUUCUGAUGUGUCCUUGUCAUCUUUGUAGCCCUUUGGACAGUUUUGACCGAUCAAAAAAAAAAAGAAAAAGAAAAGACUCUUUGAAGCCUUUUCUCGGAGUAUUGUAAUUCACAUUUUCCAAAUGGGAGUCGUUUACUCGUAUUUUUCAAUGAAGGGGGUUUGACUUCUUGAGAAAUCACAACCAC